rnacentral:rRNA from 1 species
AUUGAACGCUGGCGGCAUGCCUUACACAUGCAAGUCGAACGGCAGCACGGGGGGUAACCCCUGGUGGCGAGUGGCGAACGGGUGAGUAAUAUAUCGGAACGUGUCCUGUAGCGGGGGAUAACCUAUCGAAAGAUGGACUAAUACCGCAUACGACCUACGGGUGAAAGCGGAGGACCGCAAGGCUUCGCACUAUCGGAGCGGCCGAUAUCGGAUUAGCUAGUUGGCGGGGUAACGGCCCACCAAGGCGACGAUCCGUAGCUGGUCUGAGAGGACGAUCAGCCACACUGGAACUGAGACACGGUCCAGACUCCUACGGGAGGCAGCAGUGGGGAAUUUUGGACAAUGGGCGCAAGCCUGAUCCAGCCAUGCCGCGUGAGUGAAGAAGGCCUUCGGGUUGUAAAGCUCUUUCGGCGGGGACGAAACGGUUCGUGCUAAUACCACGGACUACUGACGGUACCCGCAGAAGAAGCACCGGCUAACUACGUG